rnacentral:rRNA from 1 species
AUACGUAGGGAGCGAGCGUUGUCCGGAAUUACUGGGCGUAAAGGGCGCGUAGGCGGCGCUUCAAGUCGUCUGUCAAAUGGAAGGGCUUAACCCUUUUUCGCAGACGAAACUGGAGAGCUUGAGAAGCAGAGAGGCAAACAGAAUUCCUGGUGUAGCGGUGAAAUGCGUAGAUAUCAGGAAGAAUACCAGUGGCGAAGGCGGUUUGCGGGCUGCAUACUGACGCUGAAGCGAGAAAGCCAGGGGAGCGAACGGGAUUAGAUACCCCGGUAGUCCUGGCAGUAAACGAUGUAUGCUGGGUGUGGGAGUAGCGAUACCUCCGUGCCGAAGUUAACGCGAUAAGCAUACCGCCUGGGGAGUACGGUCGCAAGAUUGAAACUCAAAUGAAUUGACGGGG